rnacentral:lncRNA from 10 species
AAAGCAAUCUGCUGGAUGAUUUGAAAAGUGUAAUGAAAACAAAUGACAUUGUUCGAUACAGGGUGUAUGAGAGCCACCUGUAUAGAAAUGGUGACAUCACUGGCAUAUACUCAUCAUGGGCGACAAUAUCUUGCUCAAGAAGGAGUAAUUGACCAAAUUUCUAAUAUAAUUGUUGGGGCAGAUUCAGACCCUUUCUCUAGCUUCUAUCUGCCAGGUAAGGAACACUGAUGCCUAUGGAAAUGAUGGUGCGUGUUUUAUUUCUGAGUUAUCUCUGACAUCAGGGGGUUGGGGUAGGGAGUGGACAGGGAUUGUUUUCCUUUAGAGCUGAUUUCCUUAAUGAGCUGAUUUCGUUUAGAAGAUAUCUAGAGCAACCAAGUUCAAAUU